AUUGAACGCUGGCGGCAUGCUUUACACAUGCAAGUCGAACGGCAGCGCGGGCUUCGGCCUGGCGGCGAGUGGCGAACGGGUGAGUAAUGCAUCGGAACGUGCCCAGUAGUGGGGGAUAGCCCGGCGAAAGCCGGAUUAAUACCGCAUACGACCUGAGGGUGAAAGCGGGGGACCGAAAGGCCUCGCGCUAUUGGAGCGGCCGAUGUCGGAUUAGCUAGUUGGUGGGGUAAAGGCUUACAAGGCGACGAUCCGUAGCUGGUCUGAGAGGACGACCAGCCACACUGGGACUGAGACACGGCCCAGACUCCUACGGGAGGCAGCAGUGGGGAAUUUUGGACAAUGGGGGCAACCCUGAUCCAGCCAUGCCGCGUGCGGGAAGAAGGCCUUCGGGUUGUAAACCGCUUUUGUUCGGGAAGAAAUCCUCUGGGCUAAUACCCCGGGGGGAUGACGGUACCGGAAGAAUAAGCACCGGCUAACUACGUG
rnacentral:rRNA from 1 species